ensembl:snoRNA SNORA2B small nucleolar RNA SNORA2/SNORA34 family
UUGGCCCUGAAUCAAGGCCAGCAGUUUUCAUGGAACUGUUGGUUUCAAGCAGGUGCCUAAAGAAAUGUCUUCCUAUGGUCUGUUGGCCAUUUCAGAGCUUUGGAAAUGUAAUGGUCAAUUCAUUAGAAAGAAACAUCU